rnacentral:rRNA from 1 species
UACGGGAGGCAGCAGUGGGGAAUAUUGCACAAUGGGCGCAAGCCUGAUGCAGCCAUGCCGCGUGUAUGAAAAAGGCCUUCGGGUUGUAAAGUACUUUCAGUCGUGAGGAAGGUGUUAAGGUUAAUAACCUUAGCAAUUGACGUUAGCGACAGAAGAAGCACCGGCUAACUCCGUGCCAGCAGCCGCGGUAAUACGGAGGGUGCGAGCGUUAAUCGGAAUUACUGGGCGUAAAGGGCACGCAGGCGGUUAAUUAAGUUGGAUGUGAAAUCCCCGGGCUUAACCUGGGAAUGGCAUUCAAGACUGGUUAGCUAGAGUCUUGUAGAGGGGGUAGAAUUCCAUGUGUAGCGGUGAAAUGCGUAGAGAUGUGGAGGAAUACCGGUGGCGAAGGCGGCCCCUGGGACAAAGGCUGACGCUCAUGUGCGAAAGCGUGGGGAGCAAACG